rnacentral:rRNA from 1 species
UACUCCUACGGGAGGCAGCAGUAGGGAAUCUUCCGCAAUGGGCGAAAGCCUGACGGAGCAACGCCGCGUGAGUGAUGAAGGUCUUCGGAUCGUAAAACUCUGUUAUUAGGGAAGAACAUAUGUGUAAGUAACUGUGCACAUCUUGACGGUACCUAAUCAGAAAGCCACGGCUAACUACGUGCCAGCAGCCGCGGUAAUACGUAGGUGGCAAGCGUUAUCCGGAAUUAUUGGGCGUAAAGCGCGCGUAGGCGGUUUUUUAAGUCUGAUGUGAAAGCCCACGGCUCAACCGUGGAGGGUCAUUGGAAACUGGAAAACUUGAGUGCAGAAGAGGAAAGUGGAAUUCCAUGUGUAGCGGUGAAAUGCGCAGAGAUAUGGAGGAACACCAGUGGCGAAGGCGACUUUCUGGUCUGUAACUGACGCUGAUGUGCGAAAGCGUGGGGAUCAAACAGGAUUAGAUACCCUGGUAGUCCACGCCGUAAACGAUGAGUGCUAAGUGUUAGGGGGUUUCCGCCCCUUAGUGCUGCAGCUAACGCAUUAAGCACUCCGCCUGGGGAGUACGACCGCAAGGUUGAAACUCAAAUGAAUUGACA